AACGACUCUCGGCAACGGAUAUCUCGGCUCUCGCAUCGAUGAAGAACGUUACGAAAUGCAAUACUUGGUGUGAAUUGCAGAAUCCMAUGAACCAUCGAGUCUUUGAACGCAAGKURCACUCGAAUCCAUUAGRUUGAGGGCACAKMWRGCUGGGUGUCACAUAACG
rnacentral:rRNA from 1 species